CCCGAGAGCCGGAGGUCCAUUCUUGGCUCUGUCAAGGGUCACUGGGUGAGGCUGGUGACUCGUUUACGUCUCUCAGGCCGACUUUCCUGUUGGUUAUACAUUUUCAGAGUAGAGCCUGGGAAAAGCUGUAUCAGCUUAUUGACUUUAAGUGUUUUUAGAAAACUCUCUACAAUAGAGUUCUCACUUUUCUCUAAUUAAAAAAAUUAAAAACAACACUAUAGUAAGACACUUCAUUGUCAGUGCUAGGUCCCUUCUCAUGGGAUCGAAUAGCAGAGUCCUGGCUACGGGUUCAAAUGCCCUGCUGAAAUCCUCAGACAAUUCCAACAUCCACAAAGCUACGAAAGGAGCAAUGCCUCUGAGAACCUUGGAAAGGGGAAAGGGAGCAAUGUCAUCUGCACUCAGUCAUGGAGGAAACAGCUGGACAAGUCAGCACAGGGAGGUGGUGACCAGUAGAGGAGACUUGGAGUUCUUCAGGUACCUGGAGAUCACUGAAUACUGGCCUUCCAGACCCCUUUAUACCAGGUUCGCUAUCCUGAGGGAAAUGGCCUGCCUGAAAGGGACUAAAUGA
rnacentral:lncRNA from 10 species